GUCAAAGUAGCCCUUUAAAAACUGUUAUAUUGUACUCAUCUCUUUGCGUAAUUUAGUAAUUGGUGUUCCUUAGGAACAGUGGCGUUUCAAAURAGUGUCUACAGUUAURAGCUCAGUUAUCUAUUUUCUCUUUSACCCUCUUUAGUUGGCAAAAACGACGGAGCAGUCAAUGAAAAAAGAUAUUUUACAUGUAAACCUAACUAUGGCCUAAUGGUAAGACCCAACCGGGCUUCCUGUCGUGGGAUCAACUGUGCCAAGCUUGUAGAAGACAUGUCGUAAUGUCGCCAUCUUGAGCUUGAUAAUGCUGGCCGUGGUCACUAAGAAAUUAGGGCGAAAAUAUAAARUCCCCUAGCUUAGCCUGGGURCUGAUCAGAGAUCUUCGAAUAGAGAGGAGUCUCGUUGKUUUUAGGGUCCUUUUGGUCACGACAGACAGUACCUUAGCUUAACCAUAAUAUACGUUUUCAUUUGCGUUUASGCUAAAAUUCUCUAUAAAAUCGUUUGCGUUAUUUAUAUGGACUUUUAUUGUUGUAAAAAGUAAAGGAAGGGACAAGAUGAAAUCCUUCAACACCAUAUGAGUCAGAUUUCGUCCACCCUCCAGGCCAAUAGGCAAUGUGCAGCUAGCGACGCCAUUUUAUGCAGCAAAGCAUGAUGGGAGUUGUAGUUCUCACACUUAUUAUAGAACCUAGAAUAUCGUCUUGAAGUCUUUUUURCGCUUUCUUUAUAGAAACAGCAAAACAACUUCUAUUUUGGAUUUUAAAACAGAAGAAGCAUUUCAGAAGUACGAAAACUGCAACUACCAUCAAGACCAUCACGCUUUGCUGCAAAACAUGGCGGCGCUGCGCAUUGCAAAUGGUAGCAAACACGUGAUUAUAAGAUGUGUGAGCUUAUUCUAGCAGCUGUCACGUGACUGUUUUGACUUCUGUCGUUAGAAAUGACUACCGCAAAUGCAACAUAUUUUAAUUAUGUACUCAAAAAAAUAUUUAUUAGGAAAAAAAUCGAUGUAAAGUAUUUGAAGUCAUCAUUUGAAUGAUUCAAACAACUAUUAAAUUAAUAUAACCAUUUCA